rnacentral:rRNA from 1 species
UACGAAGGGGGCUAGCGUUGCUCGGAAUUACUGGGCGUAAAGGGCGCGUAGGCGGACAGUUUAGUCAGAAGUUAAAGCCCAGGGCUCAACCUUGGAAUCGCUUUUGAUACUGGCUGUCUUGAGUACGGGAGAGGUGUGUGGAACUCCGAGUGUAGAGGUGAAAUUCGUAGAUAUUCGGAAGAACACCAGUGGCGAAGGCGACACACUGGCCCGUUACUGACGCUGAGGCGCGAAAGCGUGGGGAGCAAACAGG